GAGGCAUGCGUUGACCACAGAAGUCAAGGGCUUCAGGGCUUGGACGUGGCCCCUGAAGGCCCCUGGUGAUCUUAGUGGAUGGGACGCUGUGUGGAGAUAAAAGCCCGAACCAGUUACAACCAGUGAGACAUCCGUAGACCGAUGAAGUGCCCUCUGCACAGCACACCAGGACACCUGAGAGAUCCAUACGUCUGCACAUCCGAAGGUGGGUCGACUGGAUCCUGUGGAGGCAGUGAAACCAGAGAAGCAUUGGUGGCAGCUCCCAAACCAGAGGCUCCAGGAACCACAGUGGCACCCACAGCUCAACCCCCUUGCCCCUGGCAGUGGCAGCAGCACCUGCAGCCCUGGCCUUCCUGGCUGCAGGGGAUGCAUCUGAGGCCCUGGUGCAGCCACAGCAGCAGCACCUGUGACCUGAUGUUCCAGAGACUGCAAUGGUGGUUAGAGCCAGAGCUUCAGAAAUCACUACAGCGUCUGCAACCUGAGGCUUCAGGAAUCAAAGUGGUGCCUGUGAUGUGGGUAUCGCACCCUGUGGUGGUGGCAGUGGUGCCUUCGACCCCGGCCUGCCUGGCAGUGGCGGUGGUGCUUGUGAAUUUGGCACCCUCAGCAGCAGCAGUGCCACCACCCCUAGAAAACCUGGUAACAGCAGCAGAGGCAACACAAGUGACUCUGGCCCCCCGGCUACAGGGAACUGGGCAGCAGUGGCAGCAGAGCCCGUAACCCCAGUUCUCUCUAGCUGCAGUGGUGCCUGCAACCUGACCCCCCCAUCCAUGGUGGUGAUGGCACCUGUGAACCCAACAAUCCUGGACACAGUGGAGGCACCUGCUACCUCAGCUCCUGCCCCAUCUUCCCUCAUGACCUAGAUGACCCCAGAAGCAGCAGAGGUUCUCGCCAGCCUGGUGACCCCAGUAGUGGUGCCCCUGACCCCAACAACACUGGCAGCAGCAAGGCACCAGUGACCUUGGAGGCAAAAGCAGCAACAACGAGAGCACCGACAC
rnacentral:lncRNA from 1 species